GUGACAGCUCUGCAGACUAGAGUCCUCUCUUUAGCCACAGGACAAGUACAGCACAGGCAGCAGAAAUGCUCAGUUCCUCCCUGACACCAGUUUGCCUCACAACUGACCAAGGGGGAGAAUGUGUUUCCCACUGCCCUUUCAAUCUGUGGUCUUG
rnacentral:sRNA from 1 species